rnacentral:tRNA from 2 species
GGGCGGUUAGCUCAGUUGGUUAGAGCGCUUGCUCGACACGCAAGAGGUCACUGGUUCAAAUCCAGUAUCGCCCACCA